rnacentral:rRNA from 1 species
CCUACGGGGGGCAGCAGUGAGGAAUAUUGGUCAUUGGACGAGCGUCUGAACCAGCCAAGUAGCGUGAAGGAUGACUGCCCUAUGGGUUGUAAACUUCUUUUAUAUGGGAAUAAAAUGUUCCACGUGUGGGAUUUUGUAUGUACCAUAUGAAUAAGGAUCGGCUAACUCCGUGCCAGCAGCCGCGGUAAUACGGAGGAUCCGAGCGUUAUCCGGAUUUAUUGGGUUUAAAGGGAGCGUAGGUGGAUUGUUAAGUCAGUUGUGAAAGUUUGCGGCUCAACCGUAAAAUUGCAGUUGAAACUGGCAGUCUUGAGUACAGUAGAGGUGGGCGGAAUUCGUGGUGUAGCGGUGAAAUGCUUAGAUAUCACGAAGAACUCCGAUUGCGAAGGCAGUUCACUGGACUGCAACUGACACUGAGGCUCGAAAGUGUGGGUAUCAAACAGGAUUAGAUACCCUUGUAGUC